rnacentral:lncRNA from 1 species
AUCAGUGGCAUUCCCACAUGCUUCUUUAUGAAACUGCAGCUGAGCUUCUACAUAAAGGGCAUCAAAGGCAUUCAGGAAAUUGGGAACACUGAACCAGUUUUUCUCCAUUUUCUUUGGUUUGGUAACAGCAGGUAAAUGGAGGAUGAGAUAUUCCAGGGGUUUUACACAAAGUUGUUGCUGAUGCUCAAAGUCCUGCACUAUGCCUAGUGUGUCUUUCUUUCCUUAGGGUGCAGACUGCUAGUCAAUGCCAUGUUCUUUAAUCUUAGAUCCAGAAUCUUAAAGAUAACAUGGGUCAGUA